UGAUUGUCCAAACGCAAUUCUU
rnacentral:ncRNA from 11 species